UGGGGAAUUUUGGGACAAUGGGGGAAACCCUGAUCCAGCCAUCCCGCGUGUGCGAUGAAGGCCUUCGGGUUGUAAAGCACUUUUGGCAGGAAAGAAACGUCGCGGGUUAAUACCCCGCGAAACUGACGGUACCUGCAGAAUAAGCACCGGCUAACUACGUGCCAGCAGCCGCGGUAAUACGUAGGGUGCAAGCGUUAAUCGGAAUUACUGGGCGUAAAGCGUGCGCAGGCGGUUCGGAAACGAAAGAUGUGAAAUCCCAGAGCUUAACUUUGGAACUGCAUUUUUAACUACCGGGCUAGAGUGUGUCAGAGGGAGGUGGAAUUCCGCGUGUAGCAGUGAAAUGCGUAGAUAUGCGGAGGAACACCGAUGGCGAAGGCAGCCUCCUGGGAUAACACUGACGCUCAUGCACGAAAGGCGUGGGGAGCAAAGCAGGAUUAGAUACCCUGGUUAGUCCACGCCCUAAACGAUGUCAACUAGCUGUUGGGGCCUUCGGGCCUUGGUAGCGCAGCUAACGCGUGAAGUUGACCGCCU
rnacentral:rRNA from 1 species